rnacentral:rRNA from 1 species
UUGAAAGGGAAACGAUUGAAGUCAGUCGUACCGGCGGGUAAUCAGCCUUUUGGGUGUGAUUAUGUGGAGCAUGAGGAGUUAAACACCCUCAUCUUUGCAUAUUCGUGCACUUUGGGUGUACUUGCUCGUGUGGUAGGUUAACAUCAAUUUUGAUCGUCAUAAAAUGAUUGGAGGAAUGUAGCUUCGAUCUCGUAUUGAAGUGUUAUAGGCUUCGGUAGAUGUGAUGAUUGGGAUUGAGGAUUGCAACGGAUUCCUUCGGGGCUACCUGUCUGAUCUCUGAAAGUUGCUCUGGUGCUGAAAGCUUGCUUAUGGUAUCAAAGUUGACGUUCAACAGGUUAGAACGGGAUAAAUUCGUUAAGGAUGUUGACGUA